rnacentral:rRNA from 1 species
AGCGGCGAACGGGUGAGUAACACGUGGGUGAUCUGCCUCGUACUCUGGGAUAAGCCUGGGAAACUGGGUCUAAUACCGGAUAGGACUACCGGAUGCAUGUCUGGUGGUGGAAAGAUUUAUCGGUGCGAGAUGGGCCCGCGGNCUAUCAGCUUGUUGGUGGGGUAACGGCCUACCAAGGCGACGACGGGUAGCCGACCUGAGAGGGUGACCGGCCACACUGGGACUGAGACACGGCCCAGACUCCUACGGGAGGCAGCAGUGGGGAAUAUUGCACAAUGGGCGGAAGCCUGAUGCAGCGACGCCGCGUGAGGGAUGACGGCCUUCGGGUUGUAAACCUCUUUCGACAGGGACGAAGCGCAAGUGACGGUACCUGUAUAAGAAGCACCGGCCAACUNCGUGCCAGCAGCCGCGGUAAUACGUAGGGUGCGAGCGUUGUCCGGAAUUACUGGGCGUAAAGAGCUUGUAGGCGGUUCGUCGCGUCGAUUGUGAAAACUUGCAGCUCAACUGCAAGCUUGCAGUCGAUACGGGCGGACUAGAGUACUUCAGGGGAGACUGGAAUUCCU